rnacentral:rRNA from 1 species
AUUGAACGCUGGCGGCAUGCUUUACACAUGCCAGUCGAGCGGCAGCGCGGGGGCAACCCUGGCGGCGAGCGGCGAACGGGUGAGUAAUGCAUCGGAACGUAUCCUCGAGUGGGGGAUAACCCAGCGAAAGUUGGGCUAAUACCGCAUGAGCUCUGAGGAGGAAAGCGGGGGACCUGCGAGGGCCUCGCGCUGGAGGAGCGGCCGAUGUCCGAUUAGCUAGUUGGUGGGGUAAAGGCUUACCAAGGCGACGAUCGGUAGCUGGUCUGAGAGGAUGAUCAGCCACACUGGGACUGAGACACGGCCCAGACUCCUACGGGAGGCAGCAGUGGGGAAUUUUGGACAAUGGGGGAAACCCUGAUCCAGCCAUGCCGCGUGAGUGAAGAAGGCCUUCGGGUUGUAAAGCUCUUUCGGACGGAACGAAAUGGGCGGGACUAAUACUCCUGUCUGAUGACGGUACCGUAAGAAGAAGCACCGGCUAACUACGUG